UACGUAGGGGGCAAGCGUUGUCCGGAUUUAUUGGGCGUAAAGAGCUCGUAGGCGGUUCGACAAGUCGGAUGUGAAAUCUCCACGCUCAACGUGGAGGGGCCAUUCGAAACUGUCGUGACUUGAGUCCGGUAGGGGAGUGUGGAAUUCCCGGUGUAGCGGUGAAAUGCGCAGAGAUCGGGAGGAACACCGGUGGCGAAGGCGGGUCUCUGGGCCGAUACUGACGCUGAGGAGCGAAAGCGUGGGGAGCGAACAGG
rnacentral:rRNA from 1 species